UGGNGGCAUGCCUGACACAUGCAAGUCGAACGGCAACGAGGUCUAGCUUGCUAGAUUGCCGGCGAGUGGCGAACGGGUGAGUAAUGCGCAGGAAUAUGCCUUAAAGAGGGGGACAACUUGGGGAAACUCAAGCUAAUACCGCAUAAGCUCUUAGGAGUAAAGCUGGGGACCGCAAGGCCUGGCGCUUUAAGAAUAGCCUGCGUCCGAUUAGCUAGUUGGUGGGGUAAUGGCCUACCAAGGCGACGAUCGGUAGCUGGUCUGAGAGGAUGGCCAGCCACACUGGGACUGAGACACGGCCCAGACUCCUACGGGAGGCAGCAGUGGGGAAUAUUGGACAAUGGGGGGAACCCUGAUCCAGCAAUGCCGCGUGUGUGAAGAAGGCCUGAGGGUUGUAAAGCAC
rnacentral:rRNA from 1 species